GUGGGCUACGGAGACAUGUAUCCUGUGACCAUAGGGGGCAAGAUUGUGGGCUCUCUCUGCGCCAUUGCAGGGGUGCUGACCAUAGCCCUACCUGUUCCUGUGAUUGUGUCCAAC
rfam:Scleropages formosus scaffold6189, whole genome shotgun sequence.